rnacentral:rRNA from 1 species
UGGCGGACGGGUGAGUAAUGUCUGGGAAACUGCCUGAUGGAGGGGGAUAACUACUGGAAACGGUAGCUAAUACCGCAUAACGUCGCAAGACCAAAGAGGGGGACCUUAGGGCCUCUUGCCAUCGGAUGUGCCCAGAUGGGAUUAGCUAGUAGGUGGGGUAAUGGCUCACCUAGGCGACGAUCCCUAGCUGGUCUGAGAGGAUGACCAGCCACACUGGAACCGAGACACGGUCCAG